CGCGUAGGUAACCUGCCUGGUAGCGGGGGAUAACUAUUGGAAACGAUAGCUAAUACCGCAUAAAAUGGAUUAUCGCAUGAUAAUUCAUUGAAAGGUGCAAAUGCAUCACUACCAGAUGGACCUGCGUUGUAUUAGCUAGUUGGUGGGGUAACGGCUCACCAAGGCGACGAUACAUAGCCGACCUGAGAGGGUGAUCGGCCACACUGGGACUGAGACACGGCCCAG
rnacentral:rRNA from 1 species